rnacentral:lncRNA from 8 species
AUGCCUCACAUUUCUUCCUCUGCUGACAUCUAUAGUGUGGGCUCCUAUGUUAACAAAUCCAGAGGUUAUUGGGGUGGUCAAUGGAGGCUCUGUGUUAACUGUCUUUUCUCUGUAUACAUCAAUGAUGUCGCUCUUGCUGCUGGUGAGUCUCUGAUCCACCUCUACGCAGACGACACCAUUCUGUAUACUUCUGGCCCUUCUUUAGACACUGUGUUAACUAACCUCCAGACGAGCUUCAAUGCCAUACAACUCUCCUUCCGUGGCCUCCAACUGCUCUUAAAUACAAGUAAAACUAAAUGCAUGCUCUUCAACCGAUCGCUGCCUGCACCUGCCCGCCCGUCCAGCAUCACUACUCUGGACAGUUCUGACUUAGAAUAUGUGGACAACUACAAAUACCUAGGUGUCUGGUUAGACUGUAAACUCUCCUUCCAGACUCACAUCAAACAUCUCCAAUCCAAAGUUAAAUCUAGAAUUGGCUUCCUAUUUCGCAACAAAGCAUCCUUCACUCAUGCUGCCAAACAUACCCUCGUAAAACUGACCAUCCUACCGAUCCUCGACUUCGGCGAUGGCAUUUACAAAAUAGCCUCCAAUACCCUACUCAAUAAAUUGAAUGCAGUCUAUCACAGUGCCAUCCGUUUUGUCACCAAAGCCCCAUAUACUACCCACCACUGCGACCUGUAUGCUCUCGUUGGCUGGCCCUGGCUUCAUACUUGUCGCCAAACCCAUUGGCUCCAUGUCAUCUACAAGACCCUGCUAGGUAAAGUCCCCCCUUAUCUCCGCUCACUGGUCACCAUAGCAGCACCCACCUGUAGCACGCGCUCCAGCAGGAAUAUCUUUCUGGUCACCCCCAAAGCCAAUUCCUCCUUCAGCCGCCUCUCCUUCCAGUUCUCUGUUGCCAAUGACUGGAACAAACUACAGAAAUCUCUAAAACUGGAAACACUUAUCUCCCUCACUAGCUUUAAGCACCAGCUGUCAGAGCAGCACACAGAUUACUGCACCUGUACAUAG